rnacentral:tRNA from 1 species
GGUUUGUGGCUCAGUGGUAGAGUGCUCACCUAGCAUGUGAGAGGCACUGGGUUCAAGUCUCAGCACCA